UCGGGAAUAUCGGCAUAAUGCAGUCUUCCUCAAUAUGCGUAUUAUGCUGCUAUUCACGAGA
rnacentral:pre_miRNA from 1 species